GGAGGGUUGUCCGAGCGGUUUAAGGAGCUCGUUUCGAAAACGAGUGCCCUGAAAAGGGCUCGCAGGUUCGAAUCCUGCACCCUCCG
rnacentral:tRNA from 1 species